UACGUAGGGUGCGAGCGUUGUCCGGAAUUACUGGGCGUAAAGAGCUCGUAGGUGGUUUGUCGCGUUGUUCGUGAAAACUCACAGCUUAACUGUGGGCGUGCGGGCGAUACGGGCAGACUGGAGUACUGCAGGGGAGACUGGAAUUCCUGGUGUAGCGGUGGAAUGACGCAGAUAUCAGGAGGAACACCGGUGGCGAAGGCGGGUCUCUGGGCAGUAACUGACGCUGGAGGAGCGAA
rnacentral:rRNA from 1 species